rnacentral:rRNA from 1 species
UCGAGAAUCUUCCGCAAUGGACGAAAGUCUGACGGAGCGACGCCGCGUGAUGGAUGAAGUCCCUCUGGGACGUAAACAUCUUUUAUGAGGGAGAAAGUUUAUUGAUAGUACCUCACGAAUAAGGGGUUGCUAAACUCGUGCCAGCAGCAGCGGUAAUACGAGUGCCCCGAGCGUUAUCCGGAAUCAUUGGGCGUAAAGGGUGUGUAGGUGGCAUUGUUAGUCACACGUUAAACCCUGGGGCUUAACCCCAGAUCUGCGUGUGAUACGGCAAAGCUAGAGGAUGGCAGGGAUGUAUGGAACUCAUGGAGUAGGGGUGAAAUCCGUUGAUAUCAUGGGGAACACCGAAAGCGAAGGCAGUACAUUGGGCCACUCCUGACACUGAAACACGAAAGCGUGGGUAGCGAAUGGGAUUAGAUACCCAAGUAGUCCCUGAGCGGGCUGGCAAGGCGCAU